rnacentral:lncRNA from 1 species
UUUUAGUUUGCUUAAACUGUAUUUUCAUGUAAUUCCUUAUAAAUAAAGGGUUAAUUCAUUUUUUUUAUCAUCUUACAUCAAUAAAAUUUCAUGAGUUUAUUUUCUUCGUAAUUUGGUGGAUUCCAAAAUUAUGUUUCUAAGGUUUUUGCUUGAAUCCUUUGUUUCACGCAGUGUCAAUUGAAAACCAAAACAGUAGACUGGGGAGAGAGCUUGUUGACCUGAGAGCGAGAUCCGAGAUUGUUCUUUGCUUGUUGGUGUAUUCAGGUACAGACCUAAAAACUUUUUUCAGUGCGGACAAUAUUAAUAUACGUGAAAAAAUAACAACAUUAUAAUACAAUCAUUAUACUAAAAAUGAAAUACCUUAUAAUUGUUCUUUACUAUUUUUCAUACUUUUGCUAUAUUUGUACAAUCACUUCAUUAUCAAAAUAGAUAGAAAGUUGUGCAACAUCAAAAUCGUCUCUAUUUGACAUCUCCACAUCAACGUUUUCCACAUCCUCAAGAGAUUUUCUUUUAUAAAAUAUUUCCAUGACUAUUUUCACUAUGAAAUAAACAAGAGUUAAUUUAAGAUGUGCCAUAUCAUAGAAGAACAUCCAAUACAUACAAUAGAAUUAGGCAAGAACGAAGCAAAGAAGCAAAAUAAUCCAAACAAUUCAAAUCCACUGCCCACAUAUUCAUAUCAUAUAGGAAAAUAAUCUAAAACUAAUUUAUAUCAUACCAGAUUCAUAUCAAAGAAGUAAAAUAAUCCAAAACCAAUCCAAAAAUUAUAUUCCCUGGGAAAAUAAUUCUUUACAAUAAUAUGUAAUAAAUCGUAAAGAAGCAAAACUCUGAACCGCACCGUCAAAUCCCUUUAUAGUUUCUCACACAACAAUCCAAACACACAGUUUUAUAGCAUAUAUAUGAAAUUUCAAAAAAUUACCUGCUUCCAAAUU